ACAUCGAACUUUUCAUACACGGGGGAGAGAUAAGAUCAAACCAUGGUCGAGUUCCACGGCGCCAGCACAAGAAGAGGACGAAGCGCAGUAGCAGUCAACAGCAAGAACAAGAGUAAGAGUACCAUGUUUCUGCUUUGACUCAACAUAUGUCUUCGAUUGUUUCCCUUGAUCAUGAAUCGUUUCUGCGGGAGAAAUCCCUAGCAGCCACUCGCUGAAGGAAUUUCUUGUUGCUUCGUUUCAGGUCUGUGUUUUCAUCUGUGAUAAUAAGGGUUUUUUCUAAUGAAUAUUAUCUUAUCGAAUCUUUCGCUGUCUUCUUCAAGAUUUUUCUUGCUGUUGUUGAAUCUCGCAUCAAACAGAAACAUGGAUCACUUGCGAUGCUGAAAAAUUACGGGGUCAUAUCCAAAUUUAGCAUUGCUUUUAGAUCGAAAGCAAUCUUGAUUUCUGCAUAAUAUUUCCCAGGGUUUCUUUCUUCUCUGCCAAAGUUUCAUGAUCUUGAAUAAUAGCAGUUAUUGGAAGGGGAUGCUGUCUGUCGUUCAUUCUCGAGAUCUUGUUUUGUAUGUGCGUGCGUGUAUACAUGUAUGUAGAGUGUUGAAUCUGGCAUGAAAUCAGAACCAUGGAUCACUACGACGUGUGUGCUCUUUCACCUUGCCCCAAAAGAAAGUAAUGGGUAGCAACCAAUGAAGCUGAAAGUUACGCGAUCAUAUCCAAAUUUAGCAAUUUAGCAUUGGUUUUAGAUCUAGAGAUGUCUUGAUUUCUGCAUGAUUAUUUCAAAUUGUUUCUUUCUUCCCUGCCAAAGUCUGAUGAUCUUUAAUAAUAGCCACUUCUUGGAAGAGAAAUGCUGUCUGUCAUUGAUUUUCUCGAGGUUUCGUUUUGUGUGUAGAUAUACAUGUGUAUCCAGUAUUGAAUCUUGCAUGAAAUCCGAACCAUUGAUCACUAUAGCUCUUCCACCAUGCUCCAAAAUAAAGUAAUGGGUAGCAACCAAUGAAGCUGAAAAUUUAUGCAAUUUUAUCCUAAUUUUGCAUUGGUUUUAGAGAGUUCUUUCUUGUCGGUCAAAGUUUCAGGCUCUUCAAUAAUAGCUCUGCUUAUUCGAAUAGUGAUCCUGUUUGUCAUUAAAUUUUCUUCUAUGAUUUUGUUUUGUGUGUUAUAUGGUCUGUUGAACUGAUGACAUUAAUGUCUAGAUUUGUGAAGCAAAGUAAUGUGAGCAUGGUUUAUGAAUCAUCCGAGGACAAGAUUCAGGCAAAAAUGGCCACUUUCCCCCGUGACAUCUUGUUCUGCAUCCUUUCCAGGUUGCCCCUGAAAUCUGUUCUUCGGUUUUGUUGUGUAUCUAAGUUAUGGCUUGAUGUGAUAAAAAGUCCAGAGUUCGGGUACCUCCACUCUAAGAAAUCAGCUGGUGACCCUACAUUACUAAUUCUGUCCCACCGUCUACUGAAGGAGAACAUCAUCAGCAUAAGCCCAAUAAGCCUCAGGGGUCAUCAUCUCCACAUUAGCGAUAAUUCCAUCAGUAAUCUGGUUGGUUCCUGCUCAUUGAAUUUAGUAGGGGCUUGCAAUGGCUUCCUGUGUUUUGCAUCAUUCGAUCAUGAGCGUAUCCUGGUCUGUAAUCCUAUCACAAUCGAGUUUGUCAUUCUACCGAAACCCGGUACAACUCUUCCUCCAGAGCCUCUCACAAUAGUCUAUGGUUUUGGGUUUGAUUCUACGUCAGAGACAUACAAAGUUGUUCGUGUAUCAUAUUCUGAAGGAUCUUUACACGGUGAUGCUAAUCUUAAGGUUUCGGUUGAGGUAUACAACUUGGGUGCAACAGGGUCUUGGAGAGCAGUGCGAGACUUUCAGCAGCCUCCGUAUGGUCUGCCUGUGUUUGCUAAUGGACAUCUGCACUGGUUAGUACAUCCACAUUUUUCUGGUGCUGAUAGAAUCAUAUCAUUUGAUAUCGGAAAAGAGGAAUCGGUAAUGACACCUCACCCAAAUUUUGGUUUGAGAUUCAGUAUUUCCGAGCUGGGAGGGUGUUUGUCUGUGGUAGAUCUUAGGAAGCGCACUCUCAUUGAGGUAUGGGUGCUUAAGGAUCAAUUUAACAACUAUUGGCAGCAGGAAUACAUCCUUCCUGUAGGAGUGCCUUAUGGUCUUGAUAUGGGGCUUCCUAGGCUGAUAUCCAUCUCUGAGAAGAAUGGAGUACUACUGAUUUGGCUACAGGAUGCAAUAUUUUCAUAUGAGCAAAGAACCUUGAGUCGGAAGAAGCUGCUGAUAUCAGGGUUGCCAUCAUGGUUGGAUUGGGAGAUUUGCUGUGGGUUUAGGCCGAGUCUGGCUCCGCUGAGGGGCAAUCUUGAAAGAUUGAAAGAGAACAUGGAUGUUGCAUAUUUUACUAGUGACAUGGAAAUUUAUUCCCAGCCCAUAAUUUCUUCACAGAUUGUGGAGUAUAAAGCUAUUGGGUGCUUUUCCUAAGUUCUUGAUAACAUGUUGCUAUCAAUUCUUUUUGGAAAGAUGCAAAAGCAAGAGUAUAUGGAUGUUGCAGAUCAUGUUGGGAGAUGAUAUGAUUGACUCCAUACAUGAUGCUUGGGGACAAAUGGUGGCUUUACUACCUAUUGAUAUUGUGAAAACUCUCAGUUGCAUAAACGGUCAGACUGAAUACUAUUUGGAGAACUAGUUUAUUGUCUUUCAUUCGUUGAAGCUAUGUACCCAGGGACGAGAACACUAGCAUACAAUCUUGCCAAUUUUGCCAGAGCACGCAACACUGAUGUUUUUCGAAGAGACAGUUAGCAGAGGGAGAUGCCAAUCUGAUACUGAUGCAAUCUAUGUCAAUGAGAAUGACAGUUUAUUCCCUUACACUGAUGCCAUCAGAUUUUGAGACACUACUGUUGGUUUCUUGCUGACACAAUGGAGAUGCACCAAACUUUUCCAUGUUGGAUCAACUGACAAGCAACUACUCUUGCUUGUGGAUUGGACAGCAACUAAGAUUGCCUCUGCUGCCAUUGGAUCUCCAGUAUUAUAUGAGGUGUGACAGAGAACAGAAUCAGCAACAUGUGAACCAGUGAGAGGUCAUUUGCCAACCUGUUGCAGGUUUUUCUCACCUCUGGAUCAUUAUUACUCCACAGACCCUUUGCAGAACGGCUCACAUCAAACAAAAGAAAGCAAAUUCCACAAGGUUAUACAACACUGACACUGAUUCCUCGAGCAUUGUGUCAUUUCUUCUGUUGGGCUUUUUCUGAGGACACAAGCAUACCUACUGAGCUCCAUGCAAGUGAACUUGUUCCUCAUAACUUAUCUGAAUCAAUGGAGCAAGAAAAAUUGACCAUUGAGCUGACUCUCUGGAUAUGGUAUGAUUCAUGGUGGUAGCUGCUGAUUGGAAUAAAUUCUUUCAUCAAAAUGCAAAAAAGAAAGGUUGAAGGAAAAAUAAUCUAAAGAGGAAUCCAAAUUCUUUGUUCUUAGUUAUGUUAUCACUGUAUCCAAUGAUCAGCAAAGCACUCAGGUUAUCAUCAUCAAAUGCAGAAGUCCCAAGUAACUGAGAUCAACAGCUCUGUCCUACAAGUACAAGAUUCUAAAUCAUAUGAGAGGCUCCUAUUUGGUGGCAAGCAAAUGGAGUCGUCUAAAGAUCGAAACCAGGCGUAGCAGGUUCAGAAGAGAUGAGCACAAACUCCACGAGAUUGCAGAAGAUAACGGAGAAGGGAGAGUAAGAUGUUCCGACAUUACCUUGAGACUGCAGGCGUACAAGACCAUCUGAUCGAGGGAGGUGACGUUGAGGUGCAGCGGCAUCAGCCGCAGGCUCUGCAGCCCCACCACCAGCUUCGCCAGCUGCUUCGGCCGCCGCCUCGAGAGCACCUUCAGGCUCGCAUGGCUCUCCACCACCGUCACCUCGAUGUUCGCGGUGGCUGCUCGGUUCUCGACCUCGCCGCUGUUCCCAAAGGCAGUGUCAGCGCCGGUGACGCCGUGAUUCUUCUUGUCGUUGUUGUUGCUGCUGCUGCUGCUGCUGCUGUCGGUGGCGCCCCCAUUGGCUGAGUAGGAGGCGUACUGGGGGAAGCUAAAGCAGUCGGCAAAGGCGGCGGCGACGCCGGCUGCACCCGCUCGUUGCUCGAGUCGCUUCCGCAGUUCCAGUGAUCGAAGGAGCUGCUCGAGUUCUUUGACGUAGUUUAUUGCGCCGCCGACAAUCGAUGCUUGAUCACCCUGCACAUUGGCGGCAUCAAAUGAGGACCACGUAAGCCAAGUGACAAGAAGGACGAAGCGAAGAGCCUGUCACCCUUUGGACGAAGGAAGAGGGCAUGAGAGAGCGGAGCACGGCCAGGUACUCGUUCAUUUGCCUGCGGCGGUUGCGCUCCACGGCGAUGUGGGUCAUCCUCUGGCUCUCCACCUCCUCUUUGUUCUUGACGCUCUUCGCCCGCCGCCUCUUCCUCCGGCCGCCCACCUUCGUCGACGGGGAAUUCGCCUUCCACUCCUGCAGAUGUUGUGCCAAGGAGGAGGAGCAGGAGGAGGGAUCCCAAGUCCCAUCCCCGCCACCGCCCAUCCUUUUCUCGGCCUCAAGCAGUCCUCCCAAGCCACUGCCCCAUGCUCCUCCUCCUCCUCCUCCUCCUCCUCCGGCGGCGGUGGCACACCACUCAUCGAAAGCAUAGCCAAAGAUGCCUUGAGGGAAAGCCGCAGCUUCCAGGGCCAUUCCUCUCUUCCUACAAGGAGCUCACCACCAAACCUUCUCCUUGAUGAGGUGUCAGAAAGGUUGCGCUUUUAUAGACUCAAGGUUGGCAUCAUCAAGAAUAGAGAGGAAAAGUUGGAGGGCCUGAUGAGAGACACAAGUGAAAGAAAUGAAGGGGUUCAGAAGAUUCUGCCUGGUGUUGGACGUGUGUGUGUUUCUGUCUGCAGCGGGAGGAUAGAUGUGAGGCCAUGUGAGCUUCAACUUCUAGCUUUGAGUUCUCACUCCUCCUCCUCCCUCUCCGCAAUCAUCUGCAGCAAGUACUGCCACUGAUGCUGCAAACCCAUGUGGCCUGUGACACACUUCCAUGGGAUACUGAUCCUGAGGACUUGUUUCUUCUCUUUGACCGAUGGAAUACGUACUCGGGUCGUGUCAAUAGCCUACGGUGAGCUGCUGUGUUGUCUUCUCUCCUUGCUGUUACGUUUGGGAUUCGCUCUCCCCGCAAUUAAGUUUGAUUUGAUCAUAGGAUUUGAUUCCUCAAGAUUCUCUUUACCUUUUUGCUUAGGUUUUACUCAGGAUUAAAUUAUUGCCAGGUAUUUGAUUAUGACACUUGCAUAUAUUGAAUCCUUCGAGCUCUGACAACCUACUCUGCAGAUGUGCUUCAAGGGUUCACAGGUGGGGGUAUAUUCCCUGUGCUUUCUGAGCUAAAACAGGAAGACUAAAGCAUAAGGUAUAGUAAUUACUAUUGUCCUAAAUUUGUAUUUGAUCUAGCAAUUUGGUCAAUCUCCUGGGAUAGAUUUCUUGAGCUUUGGAGAUGUGUGAGGGAUGUUUGAUUUCUACCUUCAAACAAGGUCUUCUGACUAACUAACUAGAAUUGACUGGAUCAUUAGCCUUUACUCUUGGACAACAUUUGCAUUCCUCAGCUUGCAGCCAAGGCAAAAAAAUGUGGAUGCUUAGUGAGAGACUUGUGUAUCUUUUUGUGCCAGUCCGUGCAGCCUAGUAAAAUGUUAUUACUUGGAUGAUCAGUGGAUGUCGCCCGGUGCCACACGGUUCAGACAUAUUCAACUAAACAGUGAGUAAUCUAAUCCGAGAAAUUAUUCGUUUUGGAAUGGAUUCAUUUGGUCUUAUGUUGUGGAUGUUUAAGAGAGAGAGAGAGAAAGAAAGAAUUUUUCUUUAUUUUUUUUGGGCACUUGCAACUAAAGAUGGAUUCAUCAACCAUUAGAAAAUUUGAGUAUA